GGAUUAGAUACCCUGGUAGUCCACGCCGUAAACGAUGUCUACUAGCCGUUGGGGUACUUGAUACCUUAGUGGCGCAGCUAACGCACUAAGUAGACCGCCUGGGGAGUACGGCCGCAAGGUUAAAACUCAAAUGAAUUGACGGGGGCCCGCACAAGCGGUGGAGCAUGUGGUUUAAUUCGAUGCAACGCGAAGAACCUUACCAGGCCUUGACAUCCAGAGAAGUCGCUAGAGAUAGCUUCGUGCCUUCGGGAACUCUGUGACAGGUGCUGCAUGGCUGUCGUCAGCUCGUGCCG
rnacentral:rRNA from 1 species